GAUAGUAGCUUCCUUCUCUUUGCCAAUGACCAUACCUGUGGUAUAGGUAUUACUGCAAAGUUGAGGAGUCUCGUGCCAUCUAUCUCUCACUUUUGAGUAUGGAAGAUGAAGGUAAAGCGUGGCUUUCUCAUUCUCAGUUUGUUCUUCUCGCCUCAGGGCUAGGAUGAUAUCCUUCUUCUCUUUUUUGAUUUGUAGGAGUCAGAAAGAUUCAAGCCUAGGAUCCAUAUUUGUAUUAUUGUUGUUGACCGCCCGCCUCCUCCUUGAAGUCAGAGUAGGAUAGAGGGUAGAAAAUCUUCGGAUUCCUUAUGAACUUCCAAACCUACUCAAAAGUGAAAAAUAAUGGAUUUCUCAACUCCUAACCGCGAAAGUCGACUGAUAAGGAGUCAAUGAUGAUAAUCAGGCUUGAAUCAAGAAAGCGAAAGGACUGAAUUCUCGAAGGAGCGAAGGUACUCGUAGAAAAAAAUAUAGGAGAGGAUCAAAGAAUUUGAGACUGAGGUUAGGAAGGUUCAGAGCGAAGGUACUCUACGUUUCAAAUAUAGGUUCAGAGCGAAGCCACUCGACUGAGGUUAGGAAGGAGAGGAGCGAAGCCACUCGACUGAGGUUAGGAAGGAGAGGAGCGAAGCCACUCGACUGAGGUUAGGAAGGAGAGGAGCGAAGCCACUCGACUGAGGUUAGGAAGGAGAGGAGCGAAGCCACUCGACUGAGGUUAGGAAGGAGAGGAGCGAAGCCACUCGACUGAGGUUAGGAAGGAGAGGAGCCGUAGUUAGGAGUCUGAAAGCGGAGGCUCAAAGAAUUUGAGACGAGACUGAAAGGAGAGGGUCAAGGCCCUCAAUCAAAGAACUCGACUGAGGUUAGGAAGGAGAGGCUCCGUUAGGAGUUGAAAGCGAAGUCCUUAUCCCUUGAUUAGGAGCCUGAAUGAACAAGGGCGACUCAAAACAAUAGGGUGCGAAGGUACUCGUAGUUUGAAAUAGAGCGAAGGUACUCGUAGUUUCAGAUAUAGGUUCAGAGCGAAGCAGCUCGUAGUUUGAAAUAUAGGUUCAGAGCGAAGGUACUCUACGUUUGAAAUGGAGCGAAGCAGCUCGACUAAGAAGGAGAGGAGCGGUUAGGCGCAAAGAAUUUGCGGGUCCUUAUCCUUAUUAGGUAGGAGUGCAACUCAGAAUGGAAGAGGUUAAUAUGGAUUUCUGACGACUGAGGUCUCGACUGAAAGGAUAAAAUAAAGCUCCAGAUGAGUUGAGAAGAAUUUGAGAAGAAUUUCUCUUCUUUCUUUUUUCUUUCGGGGGCCCAGAAGGCUAAAAGGUGGGGGAGAGAAGCAAGCCGAACCUCUGAUCGACCCCUGGAAACAUCACAAAUUCUCGGCGUCGAGAGAGAUUUGAGAUUCCGUAAGUAACUCAGCGAGUGCUUUCUAAGCUAAGAAGGGCUUGACUUGGAAGAAGAAAAUGAAAUACGAACAACCG